UCUGCCCCCCGUGGGAGGAUCCAGUCUGAUAUAAACUAGACUCAACACGCAGCGGGUCAGUCGCUUCUUCACCAUCAUCAUCAUCAUUGGUUCCAGUCAGACUCUCAUCUGGACUCUCCAGUUUCCAGCAUGAUGGCAGGAUGGAGGCAGACAUGGAGACUCCUGGUCAUCUUCAGCCUCCUCAUCCUCACCAACCAGUCUGAGAUGAGAGGAGAAGCUGAACCUCAGAGGAACGUCGCAGGAAGAGCUGCACAUCUCCUCACCAAG